GCAAUAAGAUGACAACAAAAGCACAGCAGACUCAAAGCGACACCAACAUUGAUUUAUUGACAGUAAACAAUCCAAAAUUAGCUACUCUGUUAAUGUGCAGCAAUUCCAUUUUUUUUAUAUUUCUAUUGUUAUUUUGGGAUGAGGGUUAAACCUGUUUGUGACAUGUAAACAAUGAUAAUACGGCUGUUAUCCCAUUUGGUUUAUUUCCAAGAUUGGAUCGUGUUGGUUUCAUUUAGCAGGAGAAAAGUUUCAAGCAUUUCGUCGUUAUGAUAAUGAAGUCUUUAUUCCAUCAUUGUUUUGGUUGCAUUAUGCUUCGGUUUUUGACAGACAAUUUGAUUGAAUCUUAAAAUCAAAUUGGUGUAUUAUGCCUCGGUAUUCUUCUCAAUAGAUGAUUUUGGUAUAUUCUGUCAAAGUUACUCACACCUUAUUUUGGUCAUAAGUCAAAUAUGCAUGAUAUGAUUAGAUUUAAGUGAUCUUAUAAAUUACAAAUAUUUU
rnacentral:lncRNA from 1 species